AUUGAACGCUGGCGGCAUGCCUUACACAUGCAAGUCGAACGGUAACAGGUCUUCGGAUGCUGACGAGUGGCGAACGGGUGAGUAAUACAUCGGAACGUGCCUAGUAGUGGGGGAUAACUACUCGAAAGAGUGGCUAAUACCGCAUGAGAUCUACGGAUGAAAGCAGGGGAUCGCAAGACCUUGUGCUACUAGAGCGGCCGAUGGCAGAUUAGGUAGUUGGUGGGAUAAAAGCUUACCAAGCCGACGAUCUGUAGCUGGUCUGAGAGGACGAUCAGCCACACUGGGACUGAGACACGGCCCAGACUCCUACGGGAGGCAGCAGUGGGGAAUUUUGGACAAUGGGCGCAAGCCUGAUCCAGCAAUGCCGCGUGCAGGAUGAAGGCCUUCGGGCUGUAAACUGCUUUUGUACGGAACGAAAAGCCCUGGGUUAAUACCCUGGGGUCAUGACGGUACCGUAAGAAUAAGCACCGGCUACUACGUGCCAGCCGCCGCCGUAA
rnacentral:rRNA from 1 species